GCCCACGUAGCUCAGUGGUAGAGCACUCCCUUGGUAAGGGGGGGCCAAGAGUUCAAUUCCUCUUCCCUGGGCACCA
rnacentral:tRNA from 1 species